rnacentral:rRNA from 1 species
UACGGAGGGUGCGAGCGUUGUCCGGAAUCAUUGGGCGUAAAGGGCGCGUAGGUGGCCACUUCAAGCGUGCGGUGAAAGUCGGGGGCUCAACCCCUGAUCGGCCGUGCGAACUGGGGGGCUGGAGCACUGUAGAGGCAGGCGGAAUUCCGGGUGUAGCGGUGGAAUGCGUAGAGAUCCGGAAGAACACCGGUGGCGAAGGCGGCCUGCUGGGCAGUUUGCUGACACUGAGGCGCGACAGCGUGGGGAGCAAACAGGG